rfam:Ovis aries breed Texel chromosome 2, whole genome shotgun sequence.
UCCCUGGUGUUCUAGUGGUUAAGACUCUGCACUUCCAAUGCAGGGGACUUGGUUUCAAUCCCUAGUCAAGGAA